rnacentral:rRNA from 1 species
UGGGGGAUAUUGCACAAUGGGCGAAAGCCUGAUGCAGCGACGCCGCGUGGGGGAUGAAGGCUUUCGGGUUGUAAACCUCUUUCGCUAUCGAACAAGGCCCGCUUAGGGUGGGUUGAGGGUAGGUGGAGAAGAAGCGCCGGCUAACUACGUGCCAGCAGCCGCGGUAAUACGUAGGGCGCGAGCGUUGUCCGGAAGUAUUGGGCGUAAAGGGCUUGUAGGCGGCUUGUUGCGCCUGCUGUGAAAACGCGGGGCUUAACUUCGCGCGUGGAGUGGGUACGGGCAGGCUUGAGUGUGGUAGGGGUGACUGGAAUUCCAGGUGUAGCGGUGGAAUGCGCAGAUAUCUGGAGGAACACCGAUGGCGAAGGCAGGUCACUGGGCCAUUACUGACGCUGAGGAGCGAAAGCAUGGGUAGCGAACAGG